CACGUACUGUGCGAACGUUAUUCGGAAUCACUGGGCUUAAAGGGUACGUAGGCGGUUUAUCAAGUCAGGUGUGAAAUGCCUGAGCUCAACUGAGGCACUGCGCUUGAAACUGAUAAACUAGAGUAUUCCAGGGGUGUGCGGAACUGCCAGUGGAGCGGUGAAAUGCGUUGAUAUUGGCAGGAACACCGGAGGCGAAGGCGGCACACUGGGGGAUAACUGACGCUGAGGUACGAAAGCCAGGGUAGCGAAC
rnacentral:rRNA from 1 species